AUAGGCCUCAAGUCGUGGUGCAAAUCUGAAUUCGUAUCUAUCUAUCUAAUCUUAAGAGCUUAUAUUAUAUUGGAGAGAUUUUUUUUUGUACGUCUACUAAAUAAUAGUGUACUUAACCCCAAUAUAUGCGCCAUCACAAAAAUAAGAGUAUUUGUCUGUACGAAAAUCAAUCAAAAUCAAAUUAAUGUAAUCUCAAUAACUAACAAACACUGCAAGCAUGUGUGAGAAAAAUCAUAUGUCAUCACCCUAAUGUUAAAGCUUACAUGCAAAUGAAAACACACCCGCAUCCACGAAGAUAUUCGGAUUCAGCGAUGCUAGCAGUCUAGUUGCCCGCCAACACUUCCGAUUGCACAAUUUCAUACGCAUUCGCAUUCAUUGGCAAAUCUCUUAGCUGUGCUUUAAUUAAAACGUAAUUUGAUUUCGCCUUAAACACACUGAUUUAUUCGUGCGCGCCAGUUGCGCGCAACACCAACGCGCUCAGUCUAACGCUAAUACAGACGCUUUUGUUAGCUUAGAAAGUCAAACAUUUAAAUCUUCAUAUUUAUUGCUCGAUUUUGCAAAUACACAUAUACCGUAUUGCUGAUUAUAAUUAAUUAAGUUUUCGUGCGUUUUUGUUGUUAUUGUUGCACCCCAGUAUUCUGUGUGGCCAUUUGUAUUAAUAUAUUUGACUUUUUUACCGCUCUGUUAUGCUUUUCAUUAACUUCCACCUUUGUUUGUUUGUGUUCACACUCUGCUUCUUCUCGCGUUGCUUCCACUUUAAAGUCGUUGCUUGCCAUUGUGCGCGGCUUGGCGCGGCGCGUCGGCCUUUGCCAGCAUUGCCUUCAGCUGGUUCUACCACCUUAGAUGCCGCAGACAGCUCAGCGCACGGCUGCUCCUCCCAGCAUACGCACCUUCUACGCGAGCGCGCGCUCUUCACGCCACUGCCCCUGUUUCAACAGCUGCUGUUGUGCUGUCGCGCUGCUGCUAGCGCGUCGUCUCAGACAUUUAAUUUGACCAUUUUUAUUAUGAUGACUACUGCAAAUGACUAUUUUUGUGGCCAGUAUAUGUCAGUGGCUCAUAAAAUGUUGCUACGCUGUUAUUUUCUUGCUUUUGGCACAAUUCAUUUGGGUGUUAAGCAGCUGCUGCGCGGCGGCCCUGCGCGUUUCCAGCCUCUAAGCGCUUCGGUAGAGCAAGUGCUGAGCCGAGCUGAGCGUCUCGCGAAUUUAACAUGCAAAUUAUGCGCGCCUCAGUGUGUGUGUGUGUGUGCGUUAAUGUGUAUGCGCGUCUAUUUAAAUGAGAGUAUAUACUUAGGUAUGUACAUAUAUAUAUACAUACAUAUAUGUGCUUGUACUUGGAUUUGGUGCUCUGCGGUUGUGACAGAGCGCGCGGCCUAAUACGUCUCCAACGGAGGCUGACUGUGGUCGCUGCUGCUAGCUAGAUGCGAGCGCCUCUAUCUUAGUGGCUUGUUAUUCACAGCUUUUUUAUGCAUGCCGUUGUUGCUAUUGUUGUUGUUGUUGUUGCCAUACAAGUUUUAUAUAUUCAUUGUUGACUUUAUUGCUGGACGUUGUCUAAAGGCCGCAGAGCAAAUAAUAACGCCACACCGCUCGAAAUCUCAGCGGCUUUCAGUUGCUUAAGUCAGGUUCUUUUGAGCUGACGGCUUUUUGGGUGGCUUCUGAUCGCGCACAUUUUAAUCGCGUUUACGCUUAGUUUUCGAAAGCAAAAAUCGACUCGUAGAAAAUUUAAAUAUCUCUACACAUAUGCAUAUACAUAUGUAUAAGUACAUAAAUGUGUGCAUGUGCAGGGGAGUAAACGCCGUUAUAGUGUAUUUUAUAACCUGUCUUUGCGUGCUGGCAUAAAAGCGGCAAGCGGCAAGUGAGUGUGAAAUAUAUGACCUUGAACUUUUCACUUUUCCCAUUACAAACGCCAGUCAUUAAAUACAGAUGCGCUUGAGAGCGCACAACGCCUACACACAUCAUACAGACAUAAGCGAGUGUGAGUGCAGCAGCAAAAUUGUGCUUAGCGGAAACGGCGAAAAAGAGAAACAAUUAAACCGUGUUAGCUUCUAAGUGCACGCUGUGCUAAAAAUAUAUGUAUAUACAUACAUAUAUAUGUGAAGUAGUAAAAUUUUUAACGCUGACAGCAACGGCAAUAAAUCAUAAAACGCAUAAGCGCUUUAACGCGUUAACGCUACGAAGGCGCUCGUACUAAAAACGCCGCGCGCCGCUGCAGUUGCAGCUUCCACUAGCGCCGUCACAACGCCAACUAAUUUUCAGCAGCUGAGCGCGUCACUUGACUGUGCGUUUCCUACGCUUUUGCAUGCCAGCGUCUGAAGCGCUGACAGUUAGCAUCACUAUCAGUGGGAACAACGUUAACAGCAACAACAUCAACAAGCAGAGCGCUGUGUGUAGCAGUUAAACAACAGG
rnacentral:lncRNA from 1 species